AUUGAACGCUGGCGGCAGGCCUAACACAUGCAAGUCGAGCGAGCGGCGGACGGGUGAGUAAUGUCCGGGAAACUGCCUGAUGGAGGGGGAUAACUACUGGAAACGGUAGCUAAUACCGCAUACCAUCAGAUGUGCCCAGACGGGAUUAGCUAGUGGGUGGGGUAAUGGCUCACCUAGGCGACGAUCCCUAGCUGGUCUGAGAGGUUGACCAGCAACACUGAGACUGAGACACGGUCCAGAAUCCUACGGGAGGCGGCAGUGGGGAAGAUUGCACAAAGGGCGCAAGCCUGAUACAGCCAUGCCGCGUGUAUGAAGAAGGCCUUCGGGUUGUAAAGUACUUUCAGCGGGGAGGCGUUACCCGCAGAAGAAGCACCGGCUAACUCCGUGCCAGCCGCCGCGGUAAUAC
rnacentral:rRNA from 1 species